AUUGAACGCUAGCGGGAGGCUUUACACAUGCAAGUCGAACGGAGUGGCGAACGGGUGAGUAAUGUAUCGGAACGUGCCCAGUAGCGGGGGAUAACGACGCGAAAGCGUAGCUAAUACCGCAUACUAUUGGAGCGGCCGAUAUCGGAAUAGCUAGUUGGUGAGGUAACGGCUCACCAAGGCGACGAUCCGUAGCUGGUUUGAGAGGACGACCAGCCACACUGGGACUGAGACACGGUCCAGACUCCUACGGGAGGCAGCAGUGGGGAAUUUUGGACAAUGGGGGCAACCCUGAUCCAGCCAUCCCGCGUGUGCGAUGAAGGCCUUCGGGUUGUAAAGCACUUUUUGCAGGAAAGCGUUACCUGCAGAAUAAGCACCGGCUAACUACGUGCCAGCAGCCGCGGUAAUUC
rnacentral:rRNA from 1 species